AUCUAGCAUCAGGAGUGAGCGAAAGCUCCGCCAACCUGCCCUCCCAGGCAAGGUGGCGCAGAAUGUGGCCUCAUUGAGGCAAUCAACUGGGAUUCA
rnacentral:ncRNA from 10 species